CAUAUGCUUGUCUCAAAGAUUAAGCCAUGCAUGUCUAAGUAUAAGCACUUGUACUGUGAAACUGCGAAUGGCUCAUUAAAUCAGUUAUCGUUUAUUUGAUUGUACUUUUUACUACAUGGAUACCUGUGGUAAUUCUAGAGCUAAUACAUGCGUAAAAAUCCCGACUUCUGGAAGGGAUGUAUUUAUUAGAUUAAAAACCAAUGCGAGUUCUGCUCGUUGACUUGGUGAUUCAUGAUAACUUUGCGAAUCGCAUGGCCUUGCGCCGGCGAUGUUUCAUUCAAAUUUCUGCCCUAUCAACUGUCGAUGGUAAGGUAGUGGCUUACCAUGGUUGUAACGGGUGACGGAGAAUUAGGGUUCGAUUCCGGAGAGGGAGCCUGAGAAACGGCUACCACAUCUAAGGAAGGCAGCAGGCACGAAAAUUACCCAAUCCCAACACGGGGAGGUAGUGACAAGAAAUAACGGUACGGGGUCUUAAUGGUCCCGCAAUCGGAAUGAGUACAAUUUAAAUCCUUUAACGAGGAUCAAUUGGAGGGCAAGUCUGGUGCCAGCAGCCGCGGUAAUUCCAGCUCCAAUAGCGUAUAUUAAAGUUGUUGCAGUUAAAAAGCUCGUAGUUGGAUUUCGGAGUGGGUCAGUUGGUCCGCCGAAAGGUGAGUUACUGGCUGGUCUGCUCUUCUUCGCAAAGACUGCGUAUCCUCUUUAUUGAGCGUGCGUAGGAUUUACGACGUUUACUUUGAAAAAAUUAGAGUGUUCAAAGCAGGCUAUCGCUUGAAUACAUGAGCAUGGAAUAAUGGAAUAGGACUUUGGUCUUAUUUUGUUGGUUUCCGAGACCGAAGUAAUGAUUAAGAGGGACAAUUGGGGGCAUCCGUAUUUCGUUGUCAGAGGUGAAAUUCUUGGA
rnacentral:rRNA from 1 species